GCCCUAUAAAUUUUCCUGCCUGAACACCCAUAUCAACAACCCCUGGAGUAAAAGCAGCAACUAAACUCACCUUCCCCUUAUCCGGACCGGAGCCCAAAACCACAGCUGCUGGAUCUUGUAGCACAUCAAUCAGAUAUUCAGCUGCACUCUUAAGUGAAUCAGCAUCAACAUCAUCCAUGCUUUCAACUAGAACCCUAAUUUUUUUUGAAGUUCCCACUAAGAAUGCCUUGC
rnacentral:misc_RNA from 1 species